AUGCUGCGGCUCACGUGGCCAGCUCCUGGCCUCGUCUCAGCUGCAUUGGACUGCACGAUGAAUGAUCUGUCCAAGGCUUCCUGGCGGCUGGGGGCAAAUCCAGGCGAGACGACUCUGGGCUCCAGGAGGGCUGCCUUGGUGAAGCAGGCUCUGCCCGGCACAGCGAGCGAGGAGAGGGACGCAGACCCAGCAUGUGCACGCAUCCAGCCCCACGUGUGUUUGGCGCAAGCUCUCCAGGUGUUCCCAGACUUCUCUGCCACAUGUUUUUUGGAGCCUCCCUUCUGGUACCCGUGGCCUCCUGGCAAUCUCACAGGAGGUAAGUGCUGGCUGCCGGGGGGCUGUGGGGGGGUUGUGUGCCCCUGGCGUGGCUCCCUGCUUAGUAGCAGCUCUAUAACAGGAGAGAUAGGACAUUGGAGGGUGGGUUCAGCUCAUCCAGCUUCACUUGUUCUGAUGUCAAAGCCUUGUCCGAGUCACCUGAGCUCCUGGUGUCCUCCAUGA
ensembl:lncRNA